AGGACGAACGCUGGCGGCGUGCUUAACACAUGCAAGUCGAACGAGAUUCAGUGAGUAGCAAUACUCACGAAGAUCUAGUGGCGAACGGGUGCGUAACACGUGAGGAACUUGUCCCGGUCUCUGGGAUAACAGUUGGAAACGACUGCUAAUACCGGAUGACGUCGGAACUUCGCAUGGAGUACUGACGAAAGGGUUACUGGAUCGGGAGAGCCUCGCGGCCUAUCAGCUUGUUGGUGGGGUAAUGGCCUACCAAGGCAUCGACGGGUAGCUGGUCUGAGAGGGAUGGAUCGAGCCACACUGGGACUGAGACACGGCCCAGACUCCUACGGGAGGCAGCAGUGGGGAAUCUUGCACAAUGGGCGAAAGCCUGAUGCAGCAACGCCGCGUGCGGGAAGAGGCCCUGGGUUGUAAACCGCUUUCAGAAGGACGAAACUGACGGUACUUCAGAGAAGGUGCGGCAACUCGUGCCAGCAGGCCGCGGUAAUCGUGA
rnacentral:rRNA from 1 species